rnacentral:rRNA from 1 species
CCCUUAGACGUUCUGGGCCGCACGCGCGCUACACUGACCAGUGCAACAAGCAUCCGUCCUUGGCCGACAGGCCCGGGCAAUCUUUGAACGCUGGUCGUGAUGGGGAUAGACUUUUGCAAUUUUUGGUCUUCAACGAGGAAUUCCUAGUAAACGCAAGUCAUCAACUUGCAUUGAUUACGUCCCUGCCCCUUGUACACACCGCCCGUCGCACCUACCGAUUGAAUGGUCCGGUGAAGCCUCCGGAUUGGCGCGCACCUCGGUGCCGCCGAGAAGUUGGCUAAACCUUACCAUUUAGAGGAAGGUGAAGUCGUANCA